GCUUCCGUGCUUGGUAAUGUAUUUCAUUUAACUCCAUCUGUGUGUGCAUAUAUGUCUGAGACCCUGUGUUAGAAGCUGGGCAUGAGAGGUCUAAAAAUGAUGACACUCAAGCCUAGUAAGCCUGAUGGAAAUAAGUUUUGAAUGGAGGAGCGAAGGUCAUGCUGAAGGAACGCAGGGAAGGACUGAUGAGAGGGAAUGAGGGUUUUUGCAGAAGAAGCAUUUUUUCAAGGAAAGUUUGGAGAAGAGGGCAUCCCCACGUAAAGGGAGUGAGAAGUGAAGAAUGGCCUAGUGGGGCAUGACUGUAAGGAGAGAAUGAUGGGAGGUAAGACUGAAAAGCUGAUCAGAAGUGAAACAUUUUGAAGAACUUGUCAUCAUUUUAAAGGCGGUAGGAACUGCUAGUUUGUGAAUGGAGUUAGUAUGAACAGGCUUAGAAUAACUGACUGUGGGCGCGGGGCUGAUAAGAGUGGAGGCGUGGGAAUUGUGAAGCCAGAGAUUGAGAACUGAGGUCCUCUGCGCAUAUUGAGAAUGGAAAAUUGGGGAUUUAGAUUACACCACAUAAGUGAAGUUGGCAAGAUUAGCAUUUGGGGCUCAUUGGUCAGCACACAAGAGGUUGUUUGGGGAGAGUACCUUGGGUGUAUUUUACAGAUUGUACAUCACAGCUCAUGACGGAACACACUUCAGGUAUGGCGUCAGCUUGCCAUUUAGUGUUCCAGGAGUGGAAGGGAAGGAAAGAUUGCCACCUACUUGCCUGCCAGCCUCUGCGCAGUCUGUUCCCUGAUGGAGUCUGUGUCACGCGCCUGCGUGGCCUGCGCCCCAUUUUCAUUUGUGUCCUUUUGUAGACAGAGGGAAAAGAGAGGGGUUCCUGUUGGAUGUAACGUAAAUAAGACUUGGAGUUGCCUGAACAGGUAGGGGCAUAGUUCUGAUUGCUGAGGAUCGAGUGAGUGGUAAAGCAGCAGUAAAAAGUACUUUCGAAAAGUUGGCAGGAAAUACAAAGAAUUAUGACAGUGUCUUGAGAGACAAAGGGUAAACUUAGGGGUCAGAACAAGUUGAAAGGGAGAAUUCAGAGACACCUGUGCCUUGAUGAGACACAGUCCUGGAGAGGGUGGGAUCCACUGAGUCUUAGGGGUCCAAACUAGCCUGACCUCCAGAUGGAGAGUUUGGUAAUCUUGGACAAAUCUCAGCUUUGCCAAGCCCGGGGCUGCUUCGUCUGUCGCAGGAUGGGAGAUAAGUCUUUCACAGGGCUGCGGAAAUGAUAGACUGUGUGUACUUCUGUCAGGAUAAUCCACGUAAAGCAAAUAUAAUUGUUGACUUUAGCCGCGGAAAGGAAUAGAAAUGGUUUAAGAUAAUGGGCAAAUAUUGAAGCGAGAGGGAGGAAUUUUGUGUGGCCUCCCAUUUGAGAACUUAAAUACAUGCUGAUCCCCAAGUCAUCCUGUUCAUCCCCAGUAGUCUCAAUCUUCAUGUGGUUGGUAAGAAUAAUUCUCACUUGAGAGAAAUGCCUCAACAUCAGUAUUGACUGAGGAUUUUUGUUUGUUUUUACUUUCUGAGAAGUAGGACUGCUAAACAUUGUUCUGAUUCUUUUGCUGUUUUUGAGUAUCAUUCCUGCCAUUCAGUUCAUUCCAACUGAACCUCCUCCGUGACACAUACUUCACAUCUUUGUGCGCGUUACUCCCGCCACUUGUUCAUUUGAAAUCUUCGUGGCUGAAGGCCCGAUCCGAUCGUUCCUCCUCUGAUAAAGCUUCUCUGCAAGGACUUACUCUUUCUUGUCCCUGUUGCAUGUUCCCUUGCUGUGUUCAUUUGUUCACGCACUCACGGUUCUGUCCUGUGAGGCAGCAGUGUGCUUUAUGUCUCUCCUGUUCUGCGAGGCCAUCCUGUGUGCUUAUCUUCACUGGUGCUUCACCCGGAAUCCCUUGGAUGGAAGAGCCUGUUCACAAUGAUUGGAAAAAGGAGUCAGAGAGAGAAGGUGGUUCUGAUGUGGUCCCUCCGUUCAUUAUCAGCUGCCUUGAAGAACGAAGUACCAAAUCCUCACCGGGAGCAGUAACGAAUGGGAAGCAGGAUGCAGCAAAGAAUGAGGUGAUCACACUGAGGCACAGGGAUGCUGAGCAAGUUGCUCAGAGCUGCACAACCAUGUGGCGGGGCCAGGAUCUGAAUCUGGAUAGUCUGCCUCCCGUUUUCACUCUGUGACCACUGUGCGCCACUGACUGCCUAAGAAGCCUUAUGUGAAUAAAGGGUUUCGUGCUCAGAUAAAUUUGGGGGCUGCUAGUUAAAGGUGGGCACGCCCGUCAUUUUUCGGGGCUUCUCAGACUCCGGUAUGCAUUUCCAGAAACCUGCCUCAGCCAUGGCCCUGUCUCCCUGCCUCUUCUCUUUGCACCCAGCCCUCCCACUUUUCCUGGUCUUGUUUCUCUUUUUCAGAAUCGCCUCUCCUUGUCGUGGCACGCUCUUCUCUCCCUCACCAGGCUCUCCCUCUGCUGGAUCACUCUGGGCAGCACACACGUGUGCUCUAGUAAUUGCCUGUGAAAGCUCUCCUCUGCCCCCUCCACUUCGCCACCCUGUCUCUGCUUCUCGUCACAUCUGCACUUCUGGAAAGACUGGCCUGGGCGCGGGGUCUUCUCUUCAGCUCCCAUGCAGUCUUCCAUCGGUUCCUGCUAGCUUCUGGCCUGACACUGCGCUCCACAUGGCCUGGACCCCACCGAUAGUUCCCUGACUAGUUUCCCUGCUGCUCCUCCCUCUGUGGGCAGAUUUAGCCACUGUCCAAAAUAGCAGGAGCCAAAAUAGCCUGCCUUGUUGAGUGCAAGCCAAUUCAUGUCCGUUUAUUUAAAGCCCUUGAGUGCUUUCCAGUAUCCCUUCAAAUAAAAGUGACUCUUCUGUAAGCGACGGGUCUGCGGGGUCGGGUCCCUGCCUGGCUCUGGCCCCAUCCACCUCCCGCCGUGCCAGCAGGGCGCUGGUGCCCGUGCGGACUUCUGCCUGGAUCUGUCUAAUUGAGCCACUGCCCCUUCCUGUCCUUCAGUCCUGGCUUCAGCACACGGUCAGUGUCUUGUCCGACCUCCCAGCCAGGCAGCAUGGCAGCUGCCCCACGCCACUGCUGCUGCCCCUCGCGCGGUCCCUUUGUGAUGGGACUAGGCAAGGGUCCUGGGAGAACCCUCCAGGGGGGUGGGGCCCUGCCCAGGACCGACGGGAUGUUGCGACUGACCCCAUUUAUUGCCCACAGAUUGGAGCCUGGUUACCUGGACUCUGUUCUAAGUCCUUUUACUGUGGGCAGUGAACCCAGUUCACACCUGGUCCAUUAUUCUACCAGCCAGGUAAACAGGGAGCGCCUCUUCCACUGUUUCUGUCUUCGCCUCUGUCUCUUUCAUAUACACACAUUCUUAAAAUUGUAUUCUAACAUGGGGCACUUACCAGGCUUUUUAAAAGUAAGCCAACUCAUUUUUUUUCAGUGUAGGAGUUAAAAUUUACAGUUUUUUCUUUAGAGUAAAACACACAUUGUAAAACAAUUUAAACAUUUUUAGAAGUAGUUUGAGGGCAGAAUCCUAGGGGGUUUUUUGUUUUUUGUUUUUU